rnacentral:lncRNA from 1 species
CUUCCAGCGCCCCCGUUGGAUGGGAAUCUGGGACCAACACCUCCAGCGCAGGUGGUAGAGGAACCAAAGGAUGAUAACAUGGAGGAAAAUGAAGAGGACACCAAUAAAGCCAAUAAUGUUUCAACGUCUGUUGCAACACAUACUAGAACCAUUGGUAUCAUUUAUCCGCCUCCAGAUAUUAGGAGUAUUGUCGACAAGACUGCACAGUUUGUGGCGAAGAAUGGCCCAGAAUUUGAGAAGAGGAUUGUUCUAAAUAACGCUGGCAAUGCAAAAUUUAACUUCCUGAAUGCUUCUGAUCCUUACCAUGCCUAUUAUCAGCACCGUUUGGCUGAAGCUCGUUCACAGAAUCAGGCUUCUGGAGAGCAGCCUACUCAACCAGCAGACCAAGAAGCGGCCCCUGCUCCUCCUACCGCUGAUGGUGCUGAGGCAACUGCUAGGCCUGAUCCGUCAGUUCAGUUUAGACCUGUCAGAAGGGUUCUUGAGCCACCUGAGGCAGAGCAAUAUACUGUUAGACUCCCUGAAGGGAUCACAGGUGAAGAAUUGGAUAUCAUUAAGCUUACAGCACAAUUUGUGGCCAGAAAUGGGAAGUCUUUCUUAACAGGGUUGACGAGCAGGGAGAUUAAUAAUCCGCAGUUUCAUUUUCUAAAGCCUACUCACAGCAUGUUCAUGUUUUUCACUUCACUUGCGGAUGCGUACUCGAAAGUUCUGAUGCCUCCUAAAGGCUUGACGGAUAAGCUGCGGAAGAGUGCCGCUGACAUGACAACAGUCCUGGAGCGAUGUCUGCAUCGAUUGGAGUGGGAAAAGUCACAGGAGCAGGCUAGGCAGAAAGCUGAAGAUGAGAUAGAACAGGAGAGGUUGCAGAUGGCUAUGAUUGAUUGGCAUGAUUUUGUUGUCGUUGAGACUAUAGAUUUUGCUGAUGAUGAAGAUCUGGAUUUACCUCCACCUAUGACCCUUGAGGAGGUUAUAAGGAGGAGCAAGAUGCCUACAUUGGAGGAAGAAGAGUAUGUUGAGCCCGGAAAAGAGGUGGAAAUGGAGAUGGAUGAAGAAGAGGUGCAGCUAGUCGAAGAAGGUAUGAGAGCUGCGACUCUUCAAGAGAAUGGUGAUGUCAAGAGUGUUGAAACCAUGGCAAUUCCAGAGGAACAGGACCCACCUAUGCGGAUUGUGAAGAACUGGAAGAGGCCUGAAGAGAGGAUCCCCGCAGAAAGGGACCCAACUAAGUAUGUUGUCUCUCCUAUAACUGGUGAGCUAAUACCUAUUAAUGAAAUGUCUGAACAUAUGAGGAUCUCUCUCAUUGAUCCGAAGUACAAGGAACAGAAAGACAGGAUGUUUGCGAAGAUUAAGGAGACAACUCUUGCGCAGGAUGAUGAGAUUUCUAGGAACAUUGUUGGACUUGCAAGAACCCGUCCGGAUAUAUUUGGUACUACGGAAGAAGAAGUUUCAAAUGCGGUCAAGGCUGAGAUUGAGAAAAAAAAGGAAGAGCCGAAGCAGGUCAUAUGGGAUGGUCACACAGGUAGCAUUGGUCGCACUGCAAGCCAGGCAAUGUCUCAGAACACUAAUGCAGAUGAUCAGAAUGAUGCUGCAAAUGAUGAAAGAAACCUUCCCGGUCCGCAGGCUCCUCCACCUCCCAGGCCUGGUUUUCCAUCUGUUAGGCCACUACCUCCACCUCCUGGGCUUGCGCUGAAUAUUCCUAGGCCUCCUAAUACAGUCCAGUAUUCCACCUCCACCAGUGCUGGGGUUGCUGCUCCACCUCGACCUCCUAUGGUUAACAUGAUUCCUCAGGUUCGGCCCCCACCUCCUCCCAUGCCACAGAUGCUAGGUCAGCAAAAUCUGAUGGUAAAUCGUCCACCAAUGCCUCCAUCAGUGGCCAUGAAUUCACAUGGCCAUCCUAUUCCACCACCUCCUGGAUCACAGUUUACACCUUUGGGAGCACCUCGACCCUUUGUUCCCCUCCCGAUGUCCCAGCCCGGAAUGUCUAUGGUUCCGCCUCCUCCUAUUCCCCAAGGAAUGCCUCCUCCUCCUCCACCAGAAGAAGCCCCUCCUCUACCUGAAGAGCCAGAGCCGAAGAGGCAAAAGCUUGAUGAGUCUGUUCUCAUUCCUGAAGAGCAGUUUUUGGCUCAGCACUCGG